AACGUAGGUGACUAGCGUUAUCCGGAUUUACUGGGCGUAAAGCGCGUGCAGGCGGCUUAACAAGUCGGGCAUGAAAUCUCCUGGCCUAACUGGGAGACGCUGUCCGAUACUGUUAGGCUUGAGGGCAGUAGAGGGUGGUGGAAUUCCGCAUGUAGUGGUGAAAUGCGUAGAUAUGCGGAGGAACACCAGUGGCGAAGGCGGCCACCUGGACUGCUCCUGACGCUGAAGCGCGAAAGCUAGGGGAG
rnacentral:rRNA from 1 species